rnacentral:rRNA from 1 species
UUAAGCGACUAAGCGUACACGGUGGAUGCCCUGGCAGUCAGAGGCGAUGAAGGACGUGCUAAUCUGCGAUAAGCGUCGGUAAGGUGAUAUGAACCGUUAUAACCGGCGAUUUCCGAAUGGGGAAACCCAGUGUGAUUCGUCACACUAUCAUUAACUGAAUCCAUAGGUUAAUGAGGCGAACCGGGGGAACUGAAACAUCUAAGUACCCCGAGGAAAAGAAAUCAACCGAGAUUCCCCCAGUAGCGGCGAGCGAACGGGGAGCAGCCCAGAGCCUGAAUCAGUGUGUGUGUUAGUGGAAGCGUCUGGAAAGGCGCGCGAUACAGGGUGACAGCCCCGUACACAAAAAUGCACAUGCUGUGAGCUCGAUGAGUAGGGCGGGACACGUGGUAUCCUGUCUGAAUAUGGGGGGACCAUCCUCCAAGGCUAAAUACUCCUGACUGACCGAUAGUGAACCAGUACCGUGAGGGAAAGGCGAAAAGAACCCCGGCGAGGGGAGUGAAAAAGAACCUGAAACCGUGUACGUACAAGCAGUGGGAGCCUCUUUAUGGGGUGACUGCGUACCUUUUGUAUAAUGGGUCAGCGACUUAUAUUCUGUAGCAAGGUUAACCGAAUAGGGGAGCCGAAGGGAAACCGAGUCUUAACUGGGCGUUAAGUUGCAGGGUAUAGACCCGAAACCCGGUGAUCUAGCCAUGGGCAGGUUGAAGGUUGGGUAACACUAACUGGAGGACCGAACCGACUAAUGUUGAAAAAUUAGCGGAUGACUUGUGGCUGGGGGUGAAAGGCCAAUCAAACCGGGAGAUAGCUGGUUCUCCCCGAAAGCUAUUUAGGUAGCGCCUCGUGAAUUCAUCUCCGGGGGUAGAGCACUGUUUCGGCAAGGGGGUCAUCCCGACUUACCAACCCGAUGCAAACUGCGAAUACCGGAGAAUGUUAUCACGGGAGACACACGGCGGGUGCUAACGUCCGUCGUGAAGAGGGAAACAACCCAGACCGCCAGCUAAGGUCCCAAAGUCAUGGUUAAGUGGGAAACGAUGUGGGAAGGCCCAGACAGCCAGGAUGUUGGCUUAGAAGCAGCCAUCAUUUAAAGAAAGCGUAAUAGCUCACUGGUCGAGUCGGCCUGCGCGGAAGAUGUAACGGGGCUAAACCAUGCACCGAAGCUGCGGCAGCGACGCUUAUGCGUUGUUGGGUAGGGGAGCGUUCUGUAAGCCUGCGAAGGUGUACUGUGAGGUAUGCUGGAGGUAUCAGAAGUGCGAAUGCUGACAUAAGUAACGAUAAAGCGGGUGAAAAGCCCGCUCGCCGGAAGACCAAGGGUUCCUGUCCAACGUUAAUCGGGGCAGGGUGAGUCGACCCCUAAGGCGAGGCCGAAAGGCGUAGUCGAUGGGAAACAGGUUAAUAUUCCUGUACUUGGUGUUACUGCGAAGGGGGGACGGAGAAGGCUAUGUUGGCCGGGCGACGGUUGUCCCGGUUUAAGCGUGUAGGCUGGUUUUCCAGGCAAAUCCGGAAAAUCAAGGCUGAGGCGUGAUGACGAGGCACUACGGUGCUGAAGCAACAAAUGCCCUGCUUCCAGGAAAAGCCUCUAAGCAUCAGGUAACAUCAAAUCGUACCCCAAACCGACACAGGUGGUCAGGUAGAGAAUACCAAGGCGCUUGAGAGAACUCGGGUGAAGGAACUAGGCAAAAUGGUGCCGUAACUUCGGGAGAAGGCACGCUGAUAUGUAGGUGAAGUCCCUUGCGGAUGGAGCUGAAAUCAGUCGAAGAUACCAGCUGGCUGCAACUGUUUAUUAAAAACACAGCACUGUGCAAACACGAAAGUGGACGUAUACGGUGUGACGCCUGCCCGGUGCCGGAAGGUUAAUUGAUGGGGUUAGCGGUAACGCGAAGCUCUUGAUCGAAGCCCCGGUAAACGGCGGCCGUAACUAUAACGGUCCUAAGGUAGCGAAAUUCCUUGUCGGGUAAGUUCCGACCUGCACGAAUGG